GUCCACGCCGUAAACGAUGGGCACUAGAUGCCGGGCCUAUAGACGGGUUCGGUGUCGCAGCUAACGCAUUAAGUGCCCCGCCUGGGGAGUACGGCCGCAAGGCUGAAACUCAAAGGAAUUGACGGGGCCCGCACAAGCGGUGGAGCAUGUGGUUUAAUUCGAAGCAACGCGAAGAACCUUACCUAGGCUUGACAUACCGGUGAAACCCCGUGGAAACACGGGGCCUCCUUCGGGACACCAGUACAGGUGCUGCAUGGCUGUCGU
rnacentral:rRNA from 1 species